rnacentral:rRNA from 1 species
AUUGAACGCUGGCGGCAGGCCUAACACAUGCAAGUCGAACGAGUGGCGGACGGGUGAGUAAUGUCUGGGAAACUGCCUGAUGGAGGGGGAUAACUACUGGAAACGGUAGCUAAUAACGCAUACCAUCGGAUGUCCCCAGAUGGGAUGAGCUAGUCGGGGGGGUAACCGCUCACCUAGGCGACGCUCCCUAGCUGGUCUGAGAGGAUGACCAGCCAAACUGGACCUGAGACACGGUCCAGACUCCGACGGGAGGCAGAAGUGGGGAAUAGUGCACAAUGGGCGCAAGCCUGAUGAAGCCAUGCCGCGUGUAUGAAGAAGGCCUUCGGUUUGUAAAGUACUUUCAGCGGGGAGGCGUUACCCGCAGAAGAAGCACCGGCUAACUCCGUGCCAGCAGCCGCGGUAAUAC